CUCCCUGCUCCGGCCCCAAAAGAUCCUUCAGGAAACGGAGGAAGUAUGGACACACAGCCCAGGCAUUUGGGGGUACAGGCAAAGGAAUGCUCCAGCACGGAAGCAACCAGCUUGGGGAGCGUCUCCUGUUAGCUGGGCUUGUGGCAAAGACUCUACCCCAAAUCCUGCUGCUUCUGAACAUAUCCGCAAAAGGGAAGAGGCCAGUUUCACGAUUAUCUUUUCACGGAGAAGAAGAUGGGGCAUGAGCAGUCAUGUGCCACAGGCUAUGUGAAGGGGACUCCUGUCUAAUUGUUGCGACUCCAGCGAUGCAAGGGUCGCCUGGCCGCCCGCUGGGUGUGGAACUGGACGGUGGGCUGGCUGUUCAGGAAGGACGCGGCCUAUUGUCUACGGAGGCCUUUUAGAUAUUACCAUAGGAGCCCCAUCUGGAGUAUACAGUUGACGAGUCUAUCCACAAAUUACCCGAAAGAUGGUAAGACUUGUCAAAGAAGUUAACUGAAUGGCUGAUUGAGAGGAAUCAGAUAGAGGUCGCCCAUGAACCGGGCCCUAGAGGGGCAUCGCGGCAGCAGCCGCAAAAGAAACCCACGGUGUGGGGGCCUCAUCGGCCACUGGAAGAAAGUCCCCUUAAGAAUGGAGUGUGUGCGGCUCCAUUGCUACCAUCCGCUAAAUGCCCAUCGGCGGCGGCACUGUGGGGCGGGGACCCAUGCAAACACCACACAAAGCAGGCGCUGCUGGCCUCUUACCUGGGGUUGGUUAGGUUGUAGCAGGAUUUCCAUAUCUGCAACAUGUGCUUACAGGUGAGGAGCGCCUCAUCCGGGCCCCGGCACAGUGACUCCACCUUCACUUUGGAAAACAGUAGUCUACGGCGGGGAGACAAAGGGAGAAAACAACACGGCUUAAGCCAGAGUCCCCACCAGAAACCAAACACCGUGGCCUGGCCUAGACCCGGAUGCUAUGGUGCUCAUCCUAGAAAGGGGUGUCCAAAGGCUUGAUCCAGGGGAAGCCGUGGUGCAGAUGAAGGAUUCCAGAACUCCCAGCUCAAUAUAUGGCUUUGUAUACUGAAGGCAAAUGCAGGCACACCAAAGAGGACCAUCUGUGAUCAGGUUAAAAGCAUCAGAGUGGUUGGGGCACCUGGGUGGCUCAGUCGGUUGAGCAUCCGACUUCGGCUUACGUCAUGAUCUUGCGGUUCACAAAUUUGAGCCCCGCAUCAGGCUCUGUGCUGACAGCUCAGAGCCUGGAGACUGCUAAGGAUUCUGGGUCUCCCUCUCUCUCUCUCUCUCUCUCUCUCUCUCUGCCCCCUCCCCCACUCGUACUCUGUCUGCCUCUC